CUCGAGGCUUAAGUUCUUCUCCCUCCAUUCUCUCUCUCACACAUACACACACAUAUCAGUUUCAAUCGACUUACCUUCUUCAAGAAGAAAUAGUAUUCGUAAAAGAAACAGAGUCAAAUAGCAUAAUCUUCACUGAAAAUGUGGACAGCGUCUGAAAGUCAGGAGAAGGCACCGCCACCAUCAUCAACAUCAACCACCAAAGUAAGCUUGAAGCUUUACAUUGAUACAAAAACGCAAAGAGUUGUUUUCGCAGAUGCAUCGAAGGGUUUUGUAAACAUGCUCAU